rnacentral:rRNA from 1 species
CCCUACGGGGGGCAGCAGUGGGGGAUAUUGCACAAUGGGGGAAACCCUGAUGCAGCGACGCCGCGUGAGUGAAGAAGUAUUUCGGUAUGUAAAGCUCUAUCAGCAGGGAAGAAAAUGACGGUACCUGACUAAGAAGCCCCGGCUAACUACGUGCCAGCAGCCGCGGUAAUACGUAGGGGGCAAGCGUUAUCCGGAUUUACUGGGUGUAAAGGUAGCGUAGACGGCUAAUCAAGUCAGAAGUGAAAACC